CUAGGUUUGACAUGGACGUGGUACCCGGGGCGAAAGCUUUGGGGACCCGCAAGGGAGCGUUCACAGGUGCUGCAUGGCUGUCGUCAGCUCGUGUCGUGAGAUGUUCGGUUAAGUCCGGCAACGAGCGCAACCCUCGCCUCCAGUUACCAGCGAGUAAAGUCGGGGACUCUGGAGGGACUAACCCGUUAGGGUGGGAAGGUGGGGAUGACGUCAAGUCAGUAUGGCCCUUACAUCUAGGGCUGCACACGUGCUACAAUGCCUGGUACAAAAGGAACCAAUACCGCGAGGUGGAGGAAAUCCCUAAAGCCAGGCCCAGUUCAGAUUGGAGUCUGCAACUCGACUCCAUGAAGCCGGAAUCGCUAGUAAUGGAGAUCAGUACGUACCGG
rnacentral:rRNA from 1 species